AGCCAUAUAGGCAGUAGACCAAAGUCUUAUUGCCAAAGUCUAAAAAGUGUUCCACUGAUGAUAAAAAUUUACUGCUUUCAGCAUGCCCAAUGAUUACUCAAUUUUAUUAUGUUUAUAAAAUUUUAUUAUCAUUCCUAUUGACACUUAAUUUUUCUAUUUUUCUUCUAAUUAAAAGAAGGGUAGACUAGAAUGCCAAAUAUAUUAACGUGGUUGCAUGAGCAUUGCUCUUCAAGUGGAGAUCGUGAUGCUGCAAGAAUUAAAUUGUUGCAUGGCAGACUUUGCACAUAGUAGUGGCACAAAAUGUCCAUUUGUUGCUUGAUAUGAGAAAAUUCAGAUUUUCCUCUGAAGAGUUGGUCUAUAAGAAAGUGUAGAUUAUAUGAAAGUUGAAUAAGCAAAUACUGAUUAUAUAAAAUGUAAUGUCAUACCUCAAGAAAUUUGGGGAACUCAACAGUAAUUUGAGGGACAAUUACACAUUAAAUUUUAUGUACUUGUAAGUUAAUAGUUCAAGGAAGGGAGUGAUAAUGAUAGAUGCGCCCCGGUUUUCAAACUUUUAAUGAAAGCAUUUUACAAAUGCAAUCUUGUUUAAAAGCCUAAAUUGGGGGCACCUGGGUGGCUCAGUCGGUUAAGCGUCCGACUUCGGCUCAGGUCACGAUCUCGCGGUCCGUGAGUUCGAGCCCCGCGUCGGGCUCUGGGCUGAUGGCUCAGAGCCUGGAGCCUGCUUCCGAUUCUGUGUCUCCCUCUCUCUCUGUCCCUCCCCCGUUCAUGCUCUGUCUCUCUGUCUCAAAAAUAAUAAAAUAAACAUUAAAAAAAAUUUUU